CGUGGGCCCAGCGCGCCUUUGUCUCCCCAGCCGCGCGCGAAGACCCGAAGCAUACCGCCAGGCCGAACCUGGGAGCGAACAAAAGCCCGACGCCGCCGGCGAAUAGACCCCGAGUUUGCCAAGCCGCCUGCCUACAGCGGCGGGGACGGGCCCGUAGGGGUGGGAGGCCGGGGGCCGCGACCCAGGGGAGUGUUUCUGUCCGCGCGGGUUCACCUGAGGCGCCGAAGAACGACAGCGACAGGGGAGGGGAACCGUCCCCGCUUCCCGUCCCCGUGCCGUGCCGGCCGACUUUGUUAAGUUGCAGACAGCGGUGCGGGAUCGUUUGCCUACGUGGAGUUGCGGCGCCGACCCUGGUGUCCUGGGGCUCAGCGGGCGCUCCCAGGAAUGCGCAGAGCUCUGCCAGUUGGCCCUGGUACCCUCAGAGCGGUCUGGGCCCCACGCCAGGGAACGACGGACUGGGCCGGGUUGAUAUCGCACUUGUCCGGGAAUCACCCAAAUCCAGUGCUUCUGGGCAGGCCCCUGGCCGACUGAUCCUCUGGGAUGGCAGCUGUCAAUCCUUGGGCCUCCUGGGGUGAGUCCAAAUUCUGCGUCUUCCUGGGCGCCUCAGCGCGGGCCUGCUGCAGCC